rnacentral:rRNA from 1 species
CCUGGUUGAUCCUGCCUGUAGCAUAUGCUUGUUUCAAAGAUUAAGCCAUGCACGUGUAAGCACACAGUACAGUGAAACUGCGAAUGGCUCAUUAAAUCAGUUAUGGUUCCUUUGAUCGCUCCAUCUGUUACUUGGAUAACUGUGGUAAUUUUAGAGCUAAUACAUGUCGAGGAGCGCGGACCUCUCGGGAUGCGUGCAUUUAUCAGACCAAGACCAAUCUGGGCUCGCCGGGCUGCUUUGGUGACUCUAGAUAACCUCAGGCCAAUCGCACGUUCCCGUGACGGCGACAAUGCAUUCGGAUCUCUGCCCUAUCAACUUUCGAUGGUACUUUCUGUGCCUACCAUGGUGACCACAGGUAAUGGGGAAUCGAGGUUCGAUUCCGGAGAGGGACCCUGACAAACGGCUACCACAUCCAAGGAAGUCAUCAAGAGCGCAAAUUACCAACUCCGGUAGGUAAUGACACCUCCAAUACAGGACUCUUUCUAGGCACUGUAAUUAGAAUGAGUACACUUUAAAUCCUUUCACGAGUACCCAUUGGCGGGCAAGUCUGGUGCCAGAAGCCUCGGUAAUUCCAGCUACAAUACUGUAUAUUAAAGUUGCUGCAGUUAAAAAGCUUGUAGUUUGAUCUUGGGAUCGAGCUGGUGGUCCACUGCGAGGCGAGCUACCGCCUGUCCAAGUCCCUGCCUUUCGGCACCCCCUUGAUGCUCUUGGCUGAGUGUCCUGGGGGUCUGCGUUUACUCUGAAAAAAUGAGUGUUCAAAGCAGGCCUGAAUACUUCAACUAGGAAUAAUGGAAUAGGACUCUGGUUCUAUUUAUUUGGUUUUCGGAACUGGGGCCAUGAUUAAGGGGGACGGCCGGGGGCCUUCGUAUUGUGCCGCUAGAGGUGAAAUUGUUGGACCGGCGCAAGACGAACCAAAGUGAAAGCAUUAGCCAAGAAUAUUUUCAUUAAUCAAGAACGAAAGUCUGAGGUUCGAAGAUGAUCUAAUACUGUCGUAGUUCUGACCAUUACACGAUGCCGACUAGCGAUCUGGCAGUGUUAUUCCCAUGACCCGCCGAGCAGCUUCCUGGAAACCACAGUCUUUGGGUUCUGGGUGGGAGUAUGGUUGGAAAGCUGAAACUUAAAGGAAUUGACGGAAGGCCACCACCAGGAAUGGAGCCUACAACUUAAUUUGACUGAACACAGGAAUCCUCUCCCGGACGCAGAAAGGAUUGACAGAUUGAUAGCUCUUUCUCGAUUCUGUGGGUGGUGGUGCAUUACCGUUCUUAGUUGGUGGGGCGAUUUGUCUGGUUAAUUCCAAUAACGAGCGAGACUCCUCCACAGGGGAGUUGCUAGGUCUGGAAAAGACCCGGGGCUAAGCUGAUGUCAGAACUGUUGGGACUGGGGGCUAGCUAGUCUUUUGGCUGUAGCUCCUGAGAUUCUAUCCGGGGCUACAACCAAAAGAUAUGGGGCUAUAGCCCCCUUAGCCCCCCCCUAGCAACGCCCCUGCUCCUCCAUGCUAACUAGUUACGCGACCCACCAGCGGUCGGCAUUCAACUUCUUAGAGGGACAAGUGGCGUUCAGCCACACGAGAUCGAACAAUAACAGGUCUGUGAUGUCUUUAGAUGUCCAGGGCUGCAUGUGCGCUACACUGAACGGAUCAGGGUCUGUCAACCCUUUCGCCGACGGGUACGGGUAACCCGCGGAACCUCGUUUGUGAUAGGGAUUGGGGAUUGUAAUUAUUUCCCAUGAACGAGGAGGUCCCAGUAAGUGUGGGUUAUAUGCUUGCAUUGAUUAAGUCCCUGCCCUUUGUACACACCGCCCGUUGCAACUACCGAUUGGAUGGUUUGGUGAGGUCCUCGGAUCAGCCCCUACAGAGCGGCGAGAAGACAAUCACACUUGACUAGGGGAAGUAAGUUGUAUGGGUUGGGUUAACCUGCCGGAGAUGUCCCC